CCUACGGGAGGCAGCAGUAAGGAAUAUUGGUCAAUGGAGGCAACUCUGAACCAGCCAUGCCGCGUGCAGGAUGACGGCCCUAUGGGUUGUAAACUGCUUUUAUACAAGAGAAAACCCUGGUACGUGUACCAGGUUGAUAGUAUUGUAAGAAUAAGCAUCGGCUAACUUCGUGCCAGCAGCCGCGGUAAGACGAAGGAUGCAAGCGUUAUCCGGAUUCAUUGGGUUUAAAGGGUGCGUAGGCGGACUGAUAAGUCAGUGGUGAAAUCUCUUUGCUUAACAAAGAAACUGCCAUUGAUACUGUCGGUCUAGAGUAUAGAUGACGUUGGCGGAAUAUGACAUGUAGUGGUGAAAUACUUAGAUAUGUCAUAGAACACCGAUUGCGAAGGCAGCUAACGAAACUAUAACUGACGCUGAGGCACGAAAGUGCGGGGAUCAAACAGGAUUAGAUACCCUGGUAGUCCGCACCGUAAACGAUGAUUACUCGUUGUUGGCGAUAUGACGGUCAGCGACCAAGCGAAAGCGAUAAGUAAUCCACCUGGGGAGUACGCCGGCAACGGUGAAACUCAAAGGAAUUGACGGNGNGAGACGNGCGAGGACGACGACGAGGGGAGGAGG
rnacentral:rRNA from 1 species